rnacentral:rRNA from 1 species
GACGAACGCUGGCGGCGUGCCUAAUACAUGCAAGUAGAACGCUGAAGAGAGGAGCUUGCUCUUCUUGGAUGAGUUGCGAACGGGUGAGUAACGCGUAGGUAACCUGCCUUGUAGCGGGGGAUAACUAUUGGAAACGAUAGCUAAUACCGCAUAACAAUGGAUGACACAUGUCAUUUAUUUGAAAGGGGCAAUUGCUCCACUACAAGAUGGACCUGCGUUGUAUUAGCUAGUAGGUGAGGUAACGGCUCACCUAGGCGACGAUACAUAGCCGACCUGAGAGGGUGAUCGGCCACACUGGGACUGAGACACGGCCCAGACUCCUACGGGAGGCAGCAGUAGGGAAUCUUCGGCAAUGGGGGCAACCCUGACCGAGCAACGCCGCGUGAGUGAAGAAGGUUUUCGGAUCGUAAAGCUCUGUUGUAAGUCAAGAACGAGUGUGAGAGUGGAAAGUUCACACUGUGACGGUAGCUUACCAGAAAGGGACGGCUAACUACGUGCCAGCAGCCGCGGUAAUACGUAGGUCCCGAGCGUUGUCCGGAUUUAUUGGGCGUAAAGCGAGCGCAGGCGGUUUGAUAAGUCUGAAGUUAAAGGCUGUGGCUCAACCAUAGUUCGCUUUGGAAACUGUCAAACUUGAGUGCAGAAGGGGAGAGUGGAAUUCCAUGUGUAGCGGUGAAAUGCGUAGAUAUAUGGAGGAACACCGGUGGCGAAAGCGGCUCUCUGGUCUGUAACUGACGCUGAGGCUCGAAAGCGUGGGGAGCGAACAGGAUUAGAUACCCUGGUAGUCCACGCCGUAAACGAUGAGUGCUAGGUGUUGGAUCCUUUCCGGGAUUCAGUGCCGCAGCUAACGCAUUAAGCACUCCGCCUGGGGAGUACGACCGCAAGGUUGAAACUCAAAGGAAUUGACGGGGGCCCGCACAAGCGGUGGAGCAUGUGGUUUAAUUCGAAGCAACGCGAAGAACCUUACCAGGUCUUGACAUCCCGAUGCUAUUUCUAGAGAUAGAAAGUUACUUCGGUACAUCGGUGACAGGUGGUGCAUGGUUGUCGUCAGCUCGUGUCGUGAGAUGUUGGGUUAAGUCCCGCAACGAGCGCAACCCCUAUUGUUAGUUGCCAUCAUUCAGUUGGGCACUCUAGCGAGACUGCCGGUAAUAAACCGGAGGAAGGUGGGGAUGACGUCAAAUCAUCAUGCCCCUUAUGACCUGGGCUACACACGUGCUACAAUGGUUGGUACAACGAGUUGCGAGUCGGUGACGGCAAGCUAAUCUCUUAAAGCCAAUCUCAGUUCGGAUUGUAGGCUGCAACUCGCCUACAUGAAGUCGGAAUCGCUAGUAAUCGCGGAUCAGCACGCCGCGGUGAAUACGUUCCCGGGCCUUGUACACACCGCCCGUCACACCACGAGAGUUUGUAACACCCGAAGUCGGUGAGGUAACCUUUUGGAGCCAGCCGCCUAAGGUGGGAUAGAUGAU